rnacentral:rRNA from 1 species
UUAGCNUGGCUUGCUACGCUGUGAUAGCGGCGGACGGGUGAGUAAUGCNUGGGAAUCUGGCCNAUAGUGGGGGAUAACCUGGGGAAACCCNGGCUAAUACCGCAUUAAUCCUUUNGCAUAAAGGGGGCUCCGGCUCCCGCUAUUGGAUGAUCCUAUGUCGGAUUAGCUAGUUGGUGAGGUAAAGGCUCGCCGAGGCAACGAUCCGUAGCUGGUCUGAGAGGAUGAUCACCCGCAUCGGGGCUGAGACACGGUGCGAACUCCUACCGGAGGCAACUCUGGGGAAUAUUGGACAAUGGGAAAAAUCCUGAUCGAACCAUGCCCCGAGUGAGAAGAAGGCCCUCGGUUUGUAAAGCUCUUUCGUCGAAGAANACCGCCUANUGGUUAAAACCCAUUAGGAAAGACCUGNNUCGCACAAGAAGCACCCGCUAACUCCGUGCCCGCAGCCCCGGUAGUACGGAGGGUGCAAGCGUUAUUCGUAAUUACUGGNCUUAAAGCUCGCUGAGGUGGCUUGAUAAGCCGGUUGUNACANCCNNCGGAUCAACCUGCNAACGGCUUCNNCNNCUGUCNNGCUUGAGUGCUGGAGAGGAAGGUNGAAUUCCNGGUGUANCGAU